rnacentral:lncRNA from 1 species
GCGCACUGCCUCAAGGAAGGCCUCCCAGACUGCACACUCCGGCCCCCGCAGUCCGCUGAGACCCCUCCGCCCCGGCGGCGUCUCCCAGCACCGGGUCCCCAGCGCCCAGCGCGGUCUGGCGCUGCAGCGGCGCCCGCGGGAGGCUGCGCGCCAGGGGAGGGCGCCUGGGCCGAGGGGCGAGGUGGCACCUCGAGGCCUCCGGCCCGAUCCCUGCCCAGCAGGGCGCCACCGGCCUGUCCCACACCCUCUCUGCCGCCUGCCCAGUGACCUAAUUAUUGUUUUUUCUUCCAGCCCCUGCGGAGGGGAAAAGAGAAAUUCCUGGAGGAUGACACAGGCCCGCCGCCGUGGGGACGCACGGGACCGGCUGGGCCGGCUGCGCCCCCGCCGCCGCCUAACUACAGAGCGCACCGACAUCGCCACGGCCGGCCCGGCCAGGCCUGUGGGCGCCCUGAUUCUGGGGCCGGGGGCCGGGGCUGGGGCGGGACUGCGGGUCCUUGGCACUGCGUUGGCCUGCGGGGGCAGCGCCUGGGGCUCACGGAGGAGGGCAGAGGGGGAGGGGUCCCUGCCCUCUGGGCAGGAACACGGGGCGCCCUGUGUUGAGGCCCAUGCCCUCAGCCCUCAGUCAUCGUGGGUUGUGCAUGUGGCUGCUCCCCAGAGCUAGGCCCCGGAAGGAGGCAGAGACUUGACACUGCGCUGGGCCUCGAUUCCCCAUCUGUGCAGUGGGCUGAUAGCGGGAGAGUGAGGUUUUACCAAGCUGGGGAAUCAAACCCAGGGCCUCCUGCAUGCUACGCAAGCGCUGUACCACCCUGCACACCCCCAGCCUGUAGCAGCUAACAGAUGCCGCCCGCCUCAGCACUGGGGAUUGGACCUCAGGAUUGUGGCUCUGGAGUCAGAGGCUGGAUGCCCUCUGCCAGCUGUGGUCCCUUGCAUUCCCCUGGCUGCCUGGCAGCAUCCUCUGCCACCUUCCCAUCAGCGAGGGCUGCCAGACUCUUGGAUUUCUGCCAAUCUGAUAGGUGGCAAAUAGUAUCUCCGAGGAGUUUUAAUUUGCAUUUCUUUCAUUUGAGCAAUGUCGAUCAUCUUUUCUUAGAGCUAAGGGCCUCUCCUGUUGCUUUUUCUCUGGCUCCUCUGUUCAUAGUUUCAGUCCAUAUCUGUAGGGAGGACAUUGUGGUUCUUUUCCUUCCUGCUUUUAGGAGCCCUUUAUAA